GUGCUCACUUUGGCAGCACAUAUAACUAAACUUGGAACCAUACAGAGAAGAUUAGCGUGGCCCCUAAAUGUAAAAAAUAAAUAAAUAAAAAAGAAUU
ensembl:snRNA U6 U6 spliceosomal RNA